UGGGGAAUUUUCCGCAAUGGGCGCAAGCCUGACGGAGCAAUACCGCGUGAGGGAGGAAGGCUCUUGGGUCGUAAACCUCUUUUCUCAGGGAAGAACAAAAUGACGGUACCUGAGGAAUCAGCAUCGGCUAACUCCGUGCCAGCAGCCGCGGUAAUACGGAGGAUGCAAGCGUUAUCCGGAAUGAUUGGGCGUAAAGCGUCCGUAGGUGGUUUUGUAAGUCUGUGGUUAAAGCGUGGAGCUCAACUCCAUAAGGGCCAUGGAAACUACAAGACUUGAGUGAAGUAGGGGUAGAGGGAAUUCCCAGUGUAGCGGUGAAAUGCGUAGAGAUUGGGAAGAACACCGGUGGCGAAAGCGCUCUACUGGACUUAAACUGACACUGAGGGACGAAAGCUAGGGGAGCGAAAGGGAUUAGAUACCCCUGUAGUC
rnacentral:rRNA from 1 species